AUUGAACGCUGGCGGCAGGCCUAAAACAUGCACGUCGAGCGAGCGGCGGACGGGUGAGUAAUGUAUGGGGACUGCCCGAUAGAGGGGGAUAACUACUGGAAACGGUAGCUAAUACCGCAUACUAUCGGAUAACCCAUAUGGGAUUAGCUAGUAGGUGAGGUACUGGCUCACCUAGGCGACGAUCCCUAGCUGGUCUGAGAGGAUGAUCAGCCACACUGGGACUGAGACACGGCCCAGACCCCUGCGGAGGCAGCAGUGGGGAAGAGUGCACAAUGGGCGCAAGCCUGAGGCAGCCAUGCCGCGUGUAUGAAGAAGGCCCUGGGGUGGUAAAGUACUUUCAGUCGGUAGGCGUUACCGACAGAAGAAGCACCGGCUAACUCCGUGCCAGCAGCCGCGGUAAUUC
rnacentral:rRNA from 1 species